UACGUAGGGUGCGAGCGUUAAUCGGAAUUACUGGGCGUAAAGCGUGCGCAGGCGGUGCACCAAGCUCGAUGUGAAAGCCCCGGGCUUAACCUGGGAAUUGCAUUGAGGACUGGUGUGCUCGAGUACGGCAGAGGGGGGUGGAAUUCCACGUGUAGCAGUGAAAUGCGUAGAGAUGUGGAGGAACACCGAUGGCGAAGGCAGCCCCCUGGGCCGACACUGACGCUCAUGCACGAAAGCGUGGGGAGCAAACAGG
rnacentral:rRNA from 1 species